rnacentral:tRNA from 1 species
UCCCUGGUGGCUCAGAGGUUAAAGCGUCUGCCUGGAAUGCAGGAGACCCGGGUUUGAUCUCCAAGUCGGGAAG